rnacentral:rRNA from 1 species
UUUAAAAUUAAUUAAAAGCGACGGGCAAUAUGUAUAUAUUAUUUUAAAAUAUUAAAAUUUUAAACCUAUAAAAAUUUAAUUUUAAAUCCAUUUUCAUUUAAAUAUUAAAAUUUAAAAUUCAAUUUUAAAAUUUAUUUAAUGUAUUUCAUUUUAAUCUUAUACUUUUAAUAUAUUAUGAUUUGAAAUAAAUUAAUAAAAAUAAAAUUUAUUAAUUUUUUAUUACAAAAUUAAUUAAACAACAAUAUAUAAUUUAAUUAAUAUAAGUUUAUUUAAAUGUGUAUUAUCAAAUUAAUUAACAAAAUCCUCUAAUUUUAAAUAAUACUACCAAAUUAUUUAAUUUUUAAAAAUAAAAAUUUACUAAUUAAAAAAAAAUUAAUCCUUAUAAUA